AUAACUCAGAAUCUUUUAAGAGCCAUUUCCCCUUGCAAAAACUUUGAAUACAACUCCGAAUGAGAAAGAAAUGCAUACAGCUGUCCAGUCGCAGUGUGACCCUAAAUGUUGUCCAAAUCCUGUGGUAACAAGCCUGAACGUAGUUAAAGCAAGCAAAACAUUUUGGGGAACCAUGCCAAAUGAGGGGCAACAGCAGUUGCUAAACAAUGCUUUGGAUGUCGAAAAGUGCAAAGACGAGCCAUUGGCAACUGCAUAUAACACAAUGCUAAAACGAUCAGACCUGUGCUGUCUGGGACUGGAAAAAGACAUUGAGGGAACGGUACACAGUUCAAAGACAUUAUAUUUGAAUAUAGCAAUUAAUGG